rnacentral:rRNA from 1 species
GAAUUGACGGGGGCCCGCACAAGCGGUGGAGCAUGUGGUUUAAUUCGAUGCAACGCGAAGAACCUUACCUGGUCUUGACAUCCACGGAAGUUUUCAGAGAUGAGAAUGUGCCUUCGGGAACCGUGAGACAGGUGCUGCAUGGCUGUCGUCAGCUCGUGUUGUGAAAUGUUGGGUUAAGUCCCGCAACGAGCGCAACCCUUAUCCUUUGUUGCCAGCGGUCCGGCCGGGAACUCAAAGGAGACUGCCAGUGAUAAACUGGAGGAAGGUGGGGAUGACGUCAAGUCAUCAUGGCCCUUACGACCAGGGCUACACACGUGCUACAAUGGCGCAUACAAAGAGAAGCGACCUCGCGAGAGCAAGCGGACCUCAUAAAGUGCGUCGUAGUCCGGAUUGGAGUCUGCAACUCGACUCCAUGAAGUCGGAAUCGCUAGUAAUCGUGGAUCAGAAUGCCACGGUGAAUACGUUCCCGGGCCUUGUACACACCGCCCGUCACACCAUGGGAGUGGGUUGCAAAAGAAGUAGGUAGCUUAA